UCUAUGCAGGCCCUCUGGCGGAAGAAGGCGUUGAUGACCGGGGUCCCUUGUGGGACAAUGGGGGCCUUGCAGAGGAAGGAGAGUAGUGACAAGACACUGUGGAAGGACUGGAAGUCCUCCUCCCCCUGGGGUCGAACCGUCACACGCUGACAAAGCUCCGUAAGGAUCACCAGGUCCAGGAUGAUCGGGCUGGCUAGUAGAGAGUCCUGUUGCAAAGAAAGAAAGAGGAGGGAGCUCAUUAUCCCUCGGUGUCUGAGUCACUCACACAGUGGUCAGGUUUUUCUCCAGGCUUGUACAGUAUGGGGUUUGACUGGACCAUGUCAUCCACCACGUUGCUCUUGGAGAUCUCUUUGGAGCGGAACUGCUGCGGAGCCGACAGGUUCUUCCCAUCGUUGUUGCCGAGGUGAUUGUAGCUGACGAUGGAGGUCGGCUGUCAAGGGGGAGAGGAGCUUAUUAAAAUCCCUUUGUUCAGAAAAUA